UGCUACUGCCCUAGGAGGAGAUUUUGGGCUGCCCUGCCUUCCUUCAUCUCUGCAGGUUCCUGCUGGUGCUGCCCUAAUCUGGGUGAAGAGGAGAAAAUGUCUCUCCAGGCUCACACUAUGCAUAUGGAGAGUGGAAGAGGUCCAUGUGGGGAUGGGAGUAAUCCUGACAGGGGUCCCACACAGUGGCUGUGAGCACCCCAGAGGGGAUUUUUAAAUGGACAUGGCCAAAGGAUUGCAGCCUGGGAGCAAAUCAAAGCAAUCCUUAAGGGAUAGAGGAGCCAUUCCCACAGCGACCUGUGCUGUGAGGCACGAACCUGCCUGCAGAAAGCACACAAUGCAAGGCCAGCUCUUGGCACGGCAUGGUUCCUGGUGUGCUGGCCAGACAUCUCUGCGUGGGGACAUCCCUGCUACCUGCUGGCAGAUUGCAGCCUGUGCCCACCAAAAGGAAGGCCCACCUGAUGCCACUCGUUUGCUGGGAAGAUGGUGCUCUGACUUCCCUUCAGGCUUUCUGGAAGAUGCCAGAGAGGACCGUUAGCACAGCAGGAUACUUCCUAGCAGACCCUACACCAUAUCUGUGCUCAGUAAAUACGUCUGCUUGUAUCCCAUCCAUUUCCCUGACACCCAAGACCUGCCACUGCUCACCCCCACAUCAUGUGCCCUUUGGGUCAAGUUGGCUGGGAAUGCACCCAACCCACCUACAUUUGUGUUUGUGCAAAGGUUGUUUUGUCUCUGGCAGGUCCUGAUUCUUUUUCCAUGGUGGUUUUGCACUGCAUUGCAUUGCGUUGCCAUCAUCCUUCCAAGAAAAGCUCUCCAAGUACCUUCUGCAGGUGUCAUAGCACCAUUUCAUAAAUGUCUUUGGGGACAGAUUUGCAAUGCAUUAAGUACAGCUGUCAGCAAGAUGUCCCCACCAUUUUAACGCUAGAGCUGGGUCAGAGCCACCUCCCAG
ensembl:lncRNA